rnacentral:piRNA from 1 species
UACCUAUGCCCGCUGCCAUGUGGCAGGU